UCGAACGAGAAUCUGGAGGUUCAAGUUUUCGGACAAGAACUUUCGGAGGAAAGUGGCGGAAGGGUGAGUACAACAUGGAUAAUCUACCUUCAAGUUGGGUAUAGCUUCCCGAAAGGGGAGAUAAUCCCGAAUGUGGUGAUCCGGCGCCUGUCGGAGAAUCCAAAGGUGGGGACCGCAAGGCCUGCCGCUUGAAGAUGAGUCCGUGCACUAUCAGCUAGUUGGUGAGGUAAUGGCUCACCAAGGCGAUGACGGUUAGCUGGUCUGAGAGGAUGGUCAGCCACACUGGGACUGAGAUACUGCCCAGACUCCUACGGGAGGCUGCAGUCGAGAAUCAUUCGCAAUGGGCGCAAGCCUGACGGUGCGACGUCGCGUGGAGGAUGAAGGUCUUCGGAUUGUAAACUCCUGUCAUGUGGGAUAAAUAGCCAGGGCAUGAAUAGUGCCUUGGAAUGAUAGUACCACAGGAGGAAGGGACGGCUAACUCUGUG
rnacentral:rRNA from 1 species